GACGAACGCUGGCGGCGUGCUUAACACAUGCCAGUCGAACGGAAAGGCCCUGCUUGCAGGGUGCUCGAGUGGCGAACGGGUGAGUAACACGUGGGUGAUCUGCCCCUUAUUUUGGGAUAAGCCUGGGAAACUGGGUCUAAUACUGGAUAGGACCAUGCUGUAGGUGGUGUGGUGGAAAGAUUAGUUUCGGUAAGGGAUGAGCUCGCGGCCUAUCAGCUUGCUGGUGGGGUAAUGGCCUACCAAGGCGUCGACGGGUAGCCGGCCUGAGAGGGUGGACGGCCACAUUGGGACUGAGAGACGGCCCAGACUCCUACGGGAGGCAGCAGUGGGGAAUAUUGCACAAUGGGCGCAAGCCUGAUGCAGCGACGCCGCGUGGGGGAUGACGGCCUUCGGGUUGUAAACUCCUUUCAGCCAUGACGAAGCCCUUGUGGUGACGGUAGUGGUAGAAGAAGCACCGGCUAACUACGUG
rnacentral:rRNA from 1 species